rnacentral:rRNA from 1 species
GGCCGGGUCUAGGGCUGUGCUGCGCGUCAGCGACGCGGGCGUCAUUAAGUCAGAUGUAGAAGCCCCGAGCUUAACUUGGGAAUUGCAUCUGAAACUGGUUGGCUAGAGUCUUGUAGAGGGGGGUAGAAUUCCAUGUGUAGCGGUGAAAUGCGUAGAGAUGUGGAGGAAUACCGGUGGCGAAGGCGGCCCCCUGGACAAAGACUGACGCUCAGGUGCGAAAGCGUGGGGAGCAAACAGGAUUAGAUACCCUGGUAGUCCACGCUGUAAACGAUGUCGAUUUAGAGGUUGUGGUCUUGAACCGUGGCUUCUGGAGCUAACGCGUUAAAUCGACCGCCUGGGGAGUACGGCCGCAAGGUUAAAACUCAAAUGAAUUGACGGGGGCCCGCACAAGCGGUGGAGCAUGUGGUUUA